rnacentral:rRNA from 1 species
GACGUAGGGUCCAAGCGUUGUCCGGAUUUACUGGGCGUAAAGAGCGCGUAGGCGGUCUGUUAAGUGUAGAGUGAAAUCUCCAGGGCUCAACCCGGAAACUGCUCUGCAUACUGGCAGACUGGAGUGAUGCAGAGGUUUGUGGAAUUCCUGGUGUAACGGUGAAAUGUGUUGAUAUCAGGAGGAACACCAAUGGCGAAGGCAGCACUCUGGGACGUGACUGACGCUGAGACGCGAAAGCAUGGGGAGCAAACAGG